GGGUCCUGGGCCCGUGGCUGCCCGCCUAGCUCAGGCAUUAGCUUCCCUCCUCCCACUCCCCCCACCCUCCCAGCUCCUGGCCGCCCCCUUCCCUGCCUGCCACACAGCUGUUUUGCCAACAUUGCUGCCUGAUUAUCUUUCAAGUGGCUUCUUGGAGCAGAUGUUCCGGCUCCUUCCUGCAUCGAAAACAAACAGGCGCUCUGUUGUCGUUUGCUCUCCUGGGGAAAAUCCCUCUGCUGCUGCAGAUUCUUCUUGAGAGGUUCAGGGACUUCUGUGAAGUCUCUCCCAGCUGCUCCUUGCCAGGAAUUUGCCUCCAGAUGGAUGACAGGGGCUCCUCAGGUCUUCCGAGGUGUGUGGCCCUUCCUGGACGUGGGCUGGGGGAGUACACUUGUAACAGAAUCGGAUUCAGACCUAGGGGAAGCCAGUGGAGGUUGGUGGGUUGGGGGGACUCACUCCUGUCACCGCCUUCCCAUAAUAUUUAACCUUUCGAAAAACGUAAACAUCUCACCAACUUGGAUUCUGAAAGAUCCCCCAGCAGUUUGUCCCCAGUUGAAAAUCUCUGUUUGUUUUCAGGAACCUCACCAACAAGGAAAUGUUGCUGGCUUGCUUUCUGAGGUUUGCGUUAUGAAAGCCAUAGGUUUCCAGUUUCUGUUUUAUGAAUGUGAAAGUUGAAUGUGUCUUUCAAAAGGUGCACAUUUCAUAUCCUCUCCCUGUUGAGGUUCAGGGCUCUGGCUCCACCAGGCAGCAGCUUGGCCAGUGGUCAGGAUGACCCCUGGGAUGCCAGGAAGUGACAUCUUGUCACCCUGUUUUGUGUGUGUAAGAAAUGGCGGCCUCAGCAACUCACUCCUGGAGGUCCAAAACCUCUGCAAGUCUGGCGUCUGGGCUUACCUUCAGAAUGUUUCUCCAGUCGGCUGAGUCUCUCCCACUCUGGUGCGGCUGUCCCUCUGCACCAAGCCGCCAGCCUCAUGACCCGGAUGACCUCAGAAGAUGCCUGCUGGUCCCCCUGCCCUAAGUCAUUCCUUGACACCACCCAAGGAGGAGGUUUUGGAAUACUUGCUUUGUGCUCAGUCUUUUGAUAAGAAUCUGUGAGAUUAUGGGAGAAGGAGAUGCCAUCCUGGGCAUGAGAGAGGCCCUC